rnacentral:lncRNA from 1 species
GACUGGAGAGGCCAGCACGCACAGUGACUUAAUCCAAGAAGAUGGAAUAAAAAGGCCUACCUCAUUGGGCUCGUGUGGGUGAGGAGAACUGAAGAGUCUGAGAGCGCGGCACGAGCCAGAGGCUACGGAAAACACUGCCCUCCUACACUCCACCUUGGAGAGACCCAGAAAAGAACAAGCUUCAUUUGUAAAAAAGGAAAACAACUCAGGCAAUGGGGGUGGCUUAAAGGCACUCUACAGUGUGCAGAUGCCUUCCACUUCUUCCAUCUGCCCUGUCUCUCCAAGAACCCCUAUGGCCCCGGUCUCAGAACAGAGCUGAGUGCAGAAAUGAAAAUCUAUGGCUCUGUGUUCCAAAACGAUGAAGAAUUUCAAGAUGGUGGCAGUGGUAAAAUCUUUCUCCAGGAAAAAUCUGUCCUUGGCCCAAUGUGUAAACACUUGCUGAGGAACUUGGAAUAACUUGCAGUGUCUUGCAGUAUUGUGAAACCAGCAACUUGUUCACAAUUCUUCUGAAUUUCUUGGGAAAUUUGAAGUGGAGUACCUGUACCAACAUGAAAUGACACGAAUUUAAGUGACGCUCAACAACGAAAAGCAAAAAGAACCAAAGAGGAAGCAACUGAAACAACAUCUGGAUGUAUUUAAAAAUAUACAAUGCCUCCAAAAUCAGGUGUCAUUAAUGAAAAUUCUGAAGAAAUGCCACCGGACAUAGCCAACGCACCUACGCUGUUGUUAUUCAUUUCCUGCUUUUCACAGAAAACAAUUUUGUUGCAUGGAAGAUCGUGAACUUCAAAGGGCAGAGGGGAAACUGUCCCUUGGCCUCUACCCCUCCAAGGCCCCACUUUUUUGUCAACACUCCUUGGACGCAGCAGAAGUAUGAACAUAAUAUGGUCCUGAAUGAGGCUGAGUCUUUGGGCGCAGAAGACCCGGGUUAAUAAAAAUAGGAAG